AUCGUAGCGUAGCGCAGCGGAAGUGUGGUGGGCCCAUAACCCACAGGUCUCAAGAUCGAAACUUAACUCUGAUA
rnacentral:tRNA from 1 species